UACAGAGGGGGCAAGCGUUGUUCGGAAUUACUGGGCGUAAAGGGCGCGUAGGCGGCCUUCUAAGUCGAACGUGAAAUCCCUGGGCUCAACCCAGGAACUGCGUCCGAUACUGGAUGGCUUGAGUUUGGGAGAGGGAUGCGGAAUUCCAGGUGUAGCGGUGAAAUGCGUAGAUAUCUGGAGGAACACCGGUGGCGAAGGCGGCAUCCUGGACCAACACUGACGCUGAUGAGCGAAAGCCAGGGGAGCAAACGGG
rnacentral:rRNA from 1 species